AAGAGGAAAACUCUAGUUAUUACCUCCCACCACAUGGUGGCGCUUUGUAUUGGAUUACCGCCAGUGAGCACUCACGCAGAUAGACCAAGCCACACUCACGCUGAUAGACCGAGCCGAGAGCAACACUCCAGUUUAGCUAAUUAAACUAAGAGAAAAUCUUAUGAGCCUUGAGAGGAAGAGAGGAGCUGCUUCAACCACAUAUAAGCCCUCUGAACUCCGAUUGGUUUUAUAUUUAUGCUGGAUCAGGAAACGAUCUGCAAGAAUUCUGAGCCUUCCAUGGUUCAGUGGCGAGCCAAGCGACAGGAAAGGAGAACGGGAUCAACCUCACAAGAACUACAAACAUCUUCCUACUUCUCUGAUUCAGAUAAGCGCGCUCAAUAUGAACUAAAACCUACCCGGGUAGUAAAAGAGUAAAUGAACAGACAACACAUACACCAUACAGAACAAAGCUUUUCUUCUGGCAUUGAAGAAAAGGACACUUUCAUUUGAACUUUUCUAUUAUAUUUUUGUUUAUGAAAGAGCUCUAUUUUGUUGGUAUUGUUUUAAUUCUUUGUAUUAAAAGAAAUAAUAUUUGCUGAAUGCAAUAAAUGAUCAUUGUUCAACUUCCACUCAGAGUCCAACUUUCUGAACCUAGAGAAUGUGGUUUCUUCUUAACUUUAGGGUUAAGUGCUACAAUAAUAUUUUUGGAAAACAAUUCAGUUUCUUCUAACAAUGCCUGAAGAUGCAUGGAUAGUAGAAAAAGUGUUCCAUGUACUGUUAUGUUAUCAAAUCAUUAAACAUAAGACAGUACAUAAAUGGCACAGCUGUCUCAUUAGAUCAAAGAAAUGUCAUAUCAAACUCAUAAGCAUAGUUAUCUGCCCGGGACCAUAAUCAGC